AGAGUGAACGCUGGCGGUAGGCCUAACACAUGCAAGUCGAACGGCAGCACAGUGGUAGCAAUACCAUGGGUGGCGAGUGGCGGACGGGUGAGGAAUACAUCGGAAUCUACCUUUUCGUGGGGGAUAACGUAGGGAAACUUACGCUAAUACCGCAUACGCCCUUCGGGGGAAAGCCGGGGAUCGCAAGACCUGGCGCGGAUAGAUGAGCCGAUGUCGGAUUAGCUAGUUGGUGAGGUAAUGGCUCACCAAGGCGACGAUCCGUAGCUGGUCUGAGAGGAUGAUCAGCCACACUGGAACUGAGACACGGU
rnacentral:rRNA from 1 species